GACGAACGCUGGCGGCGUGCUUAACACAUGCAAGUCGAACGAAGUGGCGAACGGGUGAGUAACGCGUAAUCAACCUGCCCUUCAGAGGGGGACAACAGUUGGAAACGACUGCUAAUACCGCAUACUGAAUGAGGGGAUUGCGUCUGAUUAGCUAGUUGGAGGGGUAACGGCCCACCAAGGCGAUGAUCAGUAGCGGGUCUGAGGGGUGGAAUGGCCAAAUUGGGACGGAGACACGGCCCAGACUCCUACGGGAGGAAGCAGGGGGAAAACUUCCGCAAUGGACGAAAGUCUGACGGAGCAACGCCGCGUGAGUGAUGAGGGCCUUCGGGUUGUAAAGCUCUGUUAAUCGGGACGCGGUACCGGAAUAGAAAGCCACGGCUAACUACGUGCCAGCCGCCGGUAAUAC
rnacentral:rRNA from 1 species